GUAGGUGGCAAGCGUUGUCCGGAUUUAUUGGGCGUAAAGAGCUCGUAGGCGGCUUAGCAAGUCGGGUGUGAAAACUUCAGGCUCAACCUGGAGAUGGCACUCGAUACUGCUAUGGCUAGAGUCCGGUAGGGGACCACGGAAUUCUGGUGUAGCGGUGAAAUGCGCAGAUAUCAGGAGGAACACCGGUGGCGAAGGCGGUGGUCUGGGCCGGCACUGACGCUGAGGAGCGAAAGCGUGGGGAGCAAACAGGAUUAGAUACCCUGGUAGUCCACGCCGUAAACGUUGGGCACUAGGUGUGGGGCCUUAUCAACGGGUUCCGUGCCGCAGCUAACGCAUUAAGUGCCCCGCCUGGGGAGUACGGCCGCAAGGCUA
rnacentral:rRNA from 1 species